AGCACCUGGAAUCUCACGCAACGCAGAGGCCCCUCCUGUGAGACAUGUGGCCCCUCUAGUCACCCCAGUGGCCCCUCCAGAGAGACAUGUGGCCCCUCUAGUCACCACAGUGGCCCCUUCAGUUUCCCCAGUGGCCCCUUCAGUUACCCAAGUGGCCCCUCCUGUGAGACAAGUAGUCCCUCCUGUGAGACAAACAGCAAAGGUUACUUGUUCACACUGCAACCUGCAAUUAAAACGGAAAAACAACAAGACCCACAUACGCCGAAAGCACGUAGAUUAUUUCGAGGUUGUUUCGAAAGAAAGACAUUUGGCAUGCCAGUGCAUCGAUACAAAAAAUGGGCGGACGUCAGUACGCCUUGGCCCCAGACUAUCUGGCGCCGUGUGAGGCUAAGAUCUGAGCCAAGUUUCUGUGAACACAGUAUAUAUGAAAGUCAAUUUAACAGUACAAUACUUCUGCUAUUCUUAACCCUCCUAAAAAUGCAUAAAAGCUUAGAACACAGUUGUAACAGGAUAAGCCAACAGGCUGGAAUUCAAGUAAAGUAAAUUCAAAUAAAUGGCCUAAUGGGGUCAGAACAGCCCCACUGAUAAGUUGCAACUAUGCCUCUGUUUCACGCAUCCAUUUGGAAAUUAUGUACAGUAUCUACAAUUUUACUUUAUGUAAAACAGAGCCAUAAUUUAAAAAUAAAAAAUAGAUGAGUGGUCAGAACUACCACUAUCCAGCAAUGAUAAAACUAAAAAACCUGAAUGGUACGGUGCGACUUUGAUCUCUCAACCCACAUAGGCUAUAAUGGUCCUUUGAAGCCUGCUAUAGUAGGACACCUUGGGCUCGUACACAGAAAUGUGGUAUUUGGCUUUGGAGCUUACCAACUGUAAGCUCCAAAGACCUUCAGCACCUGCCCCCUUUUGCCGCUGUAUGAGGCUUGCUUUCCUCUCCUCUCCAAACCAUUUGUUUUAGAUCAUCCCAACUAAGGAUUCCUCCGAUAAAACAGGAACUUUGCUCUCUGACCGUGGGCAGUAUGACAGUGACCUCAGAUGGUGACAUUCAAAGGGUAAGAUCCUGGAUCAUACGGCAUAUUCUGCAUUCAGUUGGCGUUGGUUCGACUCACAUAAGAUUUUCUGUGUAGGUCCCCGUGUUUUUUUUAGAACGUGUAUGGGGGUUGCUGGACCAUGAAACGACUUUUCAACUGCAAACACAGGGAAGCCCCCUUACACCAAUUUGAAGCCCUCUUACACACCAUUUCUAAACCACAUAGAAGAAUUAUUUUCGGCUAGGAGAUGGCGCGUAUAUGACCGCCUACCUCAUGCUCGCAUGCCUCUUCUGCAGGCAAUGGAACAGGCCUGCGGAGACAUCAACAUAGGGUCAAUCCAUGGAUGGAUUCGGCACACAAGGCAAUAUUUUCCCCGAUGCUUAGCGGGAGAAAACAUUGCUUGUGAUGUUGAUGAGAUCCUAUGGCCAGACCCCAACAGACGGCAGGAUCCAUAAGCCCACCCACGCACAAAUGCCAUGACUUUCUGUGUUCACAGUACAGUAUGGUUUAUUUUUUUUAUUUUAUUUGCUCAAACUGUAUUUACUGCACUGUAAUGUAAAGUACUGCAAUGUACAGCAUUUAGUAUUUGAUCUUUUGGUUGUGGUGAAAACGUGCCCUCUGUGGAACUGAAUAAAAACAGUGAACAUGAAAGACUGCAGUGUUUUAUAUAAAGUAGACCAGUGUGUUGCUGCUGAUCUGAAAGUGUAUUCAUAUGAUGCAAGUGUGUUUCAUUUUAACAUCAGAGUGCCAUUUUUACAAAGAAUUGUUAGGUUUCAAUAGCCGAGUUUCGAUUUGACAUAGAUGUGAAUGGUUUAUUUCCCAGUGUUGUGUCUUAUUUGCUUGUGUGUUGAGUUUUGACACAAUGAGCCAAAUUUUGCAAAACGUGUUUGUCAAGGGGUAGAAUGUCGAGCGGUCUUAGGAUCAGCACAAAAAGGCAGUGGUGCAGCAAAAAUUACUUUUAUUUACAUUUUCAGAGCAUAUACAGAGAGCAUGGCCUAGCUUCUGCCUUCUAGCUCCCCCGUCGGGACUGACACGGCUCCCUUAUAUGGGCUGACCCGAGAUUGGUGCAUACCAAUCCCUCAAAUAUCAGCGGGGGUGUUUACAUAUCAAAUCAACAAAAUAUGCAUAAAAACUGGUCAAAACAAACGUAUCUUAAAUGAAUUAAACUACAACACCUUAGUUAAUAUUCGUGCGUCUAUACCCGCCACUACUUACAAAUUAUAUAUUCCAACAAAGAUAAUUGAUUUGGCGGAGACGCAACGGCGUCACUCGCACACGCCCCGCACCAUAUAGCUGUCCCCAGUCGGGCACGCGCUUCCUAGAAGCCGCAGGGAUCGCACAGCUGACCACGGCGGUGAGCAGUUCUACUUUUUACCACUCCAUAAACAAACCCGCCCCACGAUCGCAUCAUACACCAAACCCCAAACAAUAUGCAGAAACUAUGCAGAAACUUUAUUGCGGGUUAAUCUUGCACGUCAGAUAAAUGCCCGGUGCGGCCUCAAUACGGACGCGUGAGGACGCGCCAGUAGCCGCGUCAUCACACACCCCCCUACUUAAGCUUGAACCUCCUCGUAGAGGCGGGACAAGAAGUCAGCAGUCACAUUGUCUUUUCCAGCCUUGUACUGGACAGUGAACUUAUACGGCUGCAAAGACAGAUACCACCGCGUAAUCCGGGCGUUACUGUCCCUCAUGCGAUGCAUCCAUUGCAGUGGCCGGUGGUCAGUCUCUAGCACAAACUCUUUCCCCAUCAAGUAGUACUUCAGAGUGUCCAGUGCCCACUUGAUGGCCAGACACUCCUUCUCUACCGUGGAAUACCUGGUCUCUCUGGGGAAGAGUUUGCGACUGAUGUAUAGGAUCGGCCUCCACUGGUCUCCCUCCCCCUGUAACAAGACGGCCCCCAGCCCCAGUCCUGAGGCAUCCGUCUGGACAAUGAAGGGUAGGUCAAAGUUGGGGCUCUGCAAAACUGGACUGUGACACAGGCUGCCCUUCAGGUCCUGAAAAGCCUGUUCACACUCCUCUGUCCACACCAGCUGGUUGGCGCUUGAUUUGCGAGUGAGGUUGGUCAGCACCGCAGCCCUAGCAGAAAAGUUCGGUAUGAACUGCCGGUACCACCCCACCAAGCCCAGGAAGGAACGCACUCCCUUCUUGGUUGUGGGUGGCGGGCAGCCUUGGACGGCCUCCACCUUGUUCACCUGAGGUUUAAUGUUACCGCCUCCAAGAACAUACCCCAGGUAGCAAACCUCAGGUCUGGCCAGCUGGCACUUGCUGGCAUUGACCACCAGCCCGGCAGCCUUGAUCCUCUGGAACACAUCAGCCAGGUGGGUCAAAUGUUCAUCCCAUGAUGAGCUGUGGAUGAUCACAUCAUCG
ensembl:lncRNA